AACCUCCGCAAUGUACGAAAGUGCGACGGGGGGAUCCCAAGUGUUAUGCUUUUUUGUAUAACUUUUCAUUAGUGUAAAAAGCUUUUAGAAUAAGAGCUGGGCAAGACCGGUGCCAGCCGCCGCGGUAACACCGGCAGCUCUAGUGGUAGCAAUUUUUAUUGGGCCUAAAGCGUCCGUAGCCGGUUUAAUAAGUCUCUGGUGAAAUCCUGCAGCUUAACUGUGGGAAUUGCUGGAGAUACUAUUAGACUUGAGAUCGGGAGAGGUUAGAGGUACUCCCAGGGUAGAGGUGAAAUUCUGUAAUCCUGGGAGGACCGCCUGUUGCGAAGGCGUCUAACUGGAACGAUUCUGACGGUGAGGGACGAAAGUUAGGGGCGCGAACCGGAUUAGAUACCCGGGUAGUCCUAACUGUAAACGAUGCGGACUUGGUGUUGGGUGGCUUUGAGCUGCUCCAGUGCCGAAGGGAAGCUGUUAAGUCCGCCGCCUGGGAAGUACGGUCGCAAGACUGAAACUUAAAGGAAGU
rnacentral:rRNA from 1 species